rnacentral:rRNA from 1 species
AACGAACGCUGGCGGCAGGCCUAACACAUGCAAGUCGAGCGCGCCUUCGGGUGAGCGGCGGACGGGUGAGUAACGCGUGGGAAUAUGCCCUUCUCUACGGACUAGUCCUGGGAAACUGGGGGUAAUACCGUAUACGCCCUUUGGGGGAAAGAGUUAUCGGGGUAGGAUUAGCCCGCGUUGGAUUAGGUAGUUGGUGGGGUAAUGGCCUACCAAGCCGACGAUCCAUAGCUGGUUUGUGAGGCUGAGCAGCCACACUGAGACUGAGACACGGCCCAGACUCCUACGAGAGGCAGCAGUGGGGAAUCUUAGACAAUGGGGGCAACCCUGAUCUAGCCAUGCCGCGUGAGUGAUGAAGGCCUUAGGGUUGUAAAGCUCUUUCAGCGGAGAAGAUAAUGACGGUACGAGCAGAAGAAGCCCCGGCUAACUCCGU